UGGAGCUGGGGGGUUUCAUGCUGCUGGCCUGAGAAACAGUAUCAGCUCUUGUGUGCAAACUGGGAGGAAGGAUGAAGAGGAGGAAAGGUCCCUAAAAGGAAAUCCAGAGUCUCUCAGACUACAAAGGAAUCUGGAAGGAUUUGAUAGCUGAGGCUUUUCUUGUCGCAAGAACAAAGGGAUUACCUUAAAUAAUUCCUGUUCACUUUGGUACUGUUAGCCAUAAAGCAAAGAGGCAGCUGCAGAGAUUUCAGCUGGAAGCUGCACCUCCGGACCUGCCUGUGGCACAGGCCUUGGAGAAGGCGAUGAGCAGCGGGUGCCCUCCACCAGGACAGCAAGCUCUGCAUCCUCUGGGUGUCCAUCUAUCCAUCCUGCACAGCCCUGCGGUGCUAUUGCAGGCGAGGAGCAGACCAGCUUUAGAGGCGGUCUGAGGAACACAGGCUUUCAGUGGUAGGGAUGGCGUGGACAGCUGUUGGACUGUGAUCACAGAAUCAGUGCCAUGUAUGGAAUUAAGGCAAAGGAUAACAGGAGCUGGCAGAAGGGCUCAUAUGCAAGGGACUGUGCAGCUCUGGACCUUGGUGGCUGUGGAAGGAGAAGUGCAGUACUGACCCCAUUGCAGGUGGGUUCAUGGGAUGCUGAGCACUAUGCAGGUACUCUGAGGACGAACACCCAUUGCAGGCUACAGGUGUUUGGGCUUUGAUUAAAGACUGUAAAGCCAUGGCUGCUGCCUCACCAGGCAGGGUGGCAAUGCAAUAAAUCAAGAUAAAAUCAGUGGAGCAUUAAACAAGCCAUGAGUGAUUUACAAUAAAUUGUGUAAAGAACAUUAUAGGAGUUUCAUAGAACAAGGAAAUUACAGCUAGAUCAGGGUGAGGCACUGCUUAGUUCUAGUUUCCUCUUGCAUUUAGUUUCAUUCAGCUGUAGCCCUGUGUGGGCAUUGCUUUGCUACCUGCAUGCAUCCCAGACCCUGAGCACUUUGCUGCUCGAUAGCUGAACCCACACAGCACUGCAGUGUUUUGCCUCUUUGGUUAUACUUCUUUACCUUGUGUUUGCUGCCCAACAGUUGUCUUUGAGGGCUGGAAGAGAAAUGUCAAACCACUUAGUGUGUGUAAAAAGCAUCUGCUUGCUUCCCCUCUGUGGAUGCGUAACAGUCCCAAAUUAAAUUAUUGCUCAUGCAAAGCAUCUUCUAAUAUAUUCAGCCCAUACAUAUUCUGUAUAUAUCACUGUGUAUGUUAAAUCCUCUAAUAUAUUCAUCUCCUCAGCAUCAUCAGCUUGGGUAAUUCAUUUAAACUAUUAGCAGCUAUUUAAAAGACUUUUCCCCCAUAAGAUUUGGUUCUUAGUGCAAGAAAGGUCAUUUUGUCCAGUAAAUUAGUGAGUCUGUGCCAUCAGCACUUUGCCUCAGUGAUUUCAAGUAUUCUGUCACACCAUAAAUGCAUUUACCAACAACAAAAUCAAUUAGAAUAAUUUUACCUCUGAUGGGGCCUGACCUACAGUGAAGUCAUUUAAAUGAACAAAUUCAUUUUAAUUCAUUUUAAAUCUACUCAGGUACUUCUUUGGUUAAAUUGCGCUUUAUUUGCCUUUAAUUUUCUGUUGUCUUCUGCAUAGAAGAAUAAAUUGUCAGCAAGAAAUCAGACUCUUGCAGCCUUUGAGGUUUGAGAUCUGCACCAAAAGUGUUUUUGAUACUGGCAACAAGCUGAAAAGUCAUUAUUUUUGUCUUGUCUUGCCCACCUAAUAAACAAGUAGGAAUGUAGCUGUAAAAGCAAAGCUCCUCUCAUUCUCACUGCGUAAGGCUACAGAGUCAUCAGUGACGUUAAGGGACAUGAAAUUCCAGCUCUGUGGAAGGAAAUGAUCUUGCUGGGGAAAUCAUGGCCAUGGUGAUUUCUUUGGUGUUGGCUCCCUCUCAGCAAGCAUCCAUCUGUAUUGUGAAGACAAUGAAGACAUAAGCAAAGGGAGAACAUGGAGACCAACUUCUCCCAUUUCAGGUUGUGCCUUCCAGUAAUUUUCAUAGAAUCACAGAGUGGUUUGUGUUGUAAGGGACUUCUCAAUGCUAUCAGGUCCCACUCCCUGCACUGAGCAGGGACACCCACAGCUCUAUCAGUGCUCAGAGCCCCAUCCAGCCUGACUGUGUGUGUCUGCAGGGAUGGGGUACUGCCACCUCUCUGAGCACCCUGUGCCAUUCCUCACCACCCUCAAUUUAUUACUGUGCCCUUCUUUUGGGGACAUUUUCCAGGAAAGCACUGCCUGUCGCUGCCAACCUGGUAGCUCCUCUUCUGCCCUGCUGGGGCUGUUGGCUUUGAAUCAACUUCACGUGGAAAUUAUUUUUAACCAAUAUUUCUUAUGGAAAUAUUCCAUUUACAGCAUGUGCUAAAAGCAUAAAACGUAAGAAGGCAGAUUUGGGCACUGUACUUUUUUUUUUCCUCAAGGACUCAGAGAAUAUUUUGCAGAGUUAUUUUAAACAGCUUUUUAUAUUUAGCAAGUCUAAGCAUGAUACAAGAAGUAAAUAAAUCAAAGCACCAAACACAACAGAAGAAAGAGAGAAGCCACAAUGCAGGUUUUGAACCUGUCCAAAACACGUGGGCUUGGAAUACGUUUGCAUUUGGAAAUGCUGCAUUUCAGAAGCAGUGCAGGUGGGUGAAGGGUUUGAAGCUUUGUGCUGCUCUAACAUGGAGCUGAAAGCUCAUAGGGAUGGAAAAUGGUAUUGUUUUUUUUUCUGGAGGUUAAGUGGAAUUGAGGCAGAAUGGACCUCAGAGGCAUCACAGUGUGCUGGUCCUGCUCUGGGAUUUAGGUAGGAUAUGAAGCCUUUGUACUCCUUUUGUGGUCCAGGUGGGUUUCUUCAAUCAGGGCAACCUGUGGUUACAAGAUACCAACACAAGAUGUUUGCAAGAUGCCCUGCAGGGCUGUUAUGGGUGCCUUACAGAUCACUUUUCAACAGAAAGCCUAGGAGAUGAGGUGCGCCCAUCAGAGCACAGGGCAGAAUGGAGGCUGAGCACAGCAGAACUGAUGGAGAAAGAAGGGGAAGGGCUGAGAUGGGAGUGCGAUGGGAGAAGGAGCCCUGGAGUAGGUGAAGUGUUUUCUGGUGCUGAGGAAAUGACAAAUUAUUGGUGAAUUUGAAAGUCAUAAAAGUAAAAAUAUACCGCUGGCUGGGGACCUAUUUAUCUAUCUAUUUUAAAAUGCAUCUUAACAUCCAUGUAUUUUUAAUUAAAAAUACAUUUUAGCACCAGUGCAGCCAAACUACCACAGUGCCAAUCUCCUUUUUUGGAAAUUUCUCCUUAGCAUUCUGAAUUUAUAACAAAUUCAUUGUUUCUAAUACAAUUUUUUCCCCUUUCUCUCGUCAAUUUAUUAUCUGUUUUUCAUUUCCCUUCUCUUUUGUUAAUCUUUCUAAAUAACUUUAAAGUGGUCCUCCAUCUAUUUAGCUAAAUGAAUUCACUCCACAGAUACUCAUUAUUUUGAGAAUGAUUUAUGCAAGCACUAUUAGCGAGAUUGUUCCUUGUUUGAAGGUUUUUCUGCAAUCAGAAGAACUCGGAUUUGAGUCAGCUAGAAUGAGAUCCAGUGAAAAAAAGAAUUAUUACAUAAAGUAUUCAGCACCUCCGUCAGGCUUUGUAUGUGGGAGGUCAGCUCCAAAGGCAUAAAAACACAAAGCAGCUUCUUGCUGUGGGUCUGACCCACUGAUCUUACCUUAGCCUGGGAAAUGCUAUAGCAUCAUACCCCCAAAUUAAAUCAGAUUGUUGUUGUUUUUCCAGCUGAUCCUUGCAACUCUAUGGGAACAGGUUCUGUGUCACUGUCAUAGAGGCGUACAGGACAUGUGUCAUGCAGGGGAUCAAGAGCCAGGGUAGCCCUCAUUCCUUUGGGUCACUGGGGGGCUUGCAGCCCUUGGGAGGCUAUAGGAAAAGUGGGAAGGAAAACAGUCCAUAAGUUACCUUUAUGAAAAACACUCGAGAUGACUUGGGGAUCUUUCUGCAAGGCCCUAUCUUGUCUUUCUGUACCAGCAAAUAACUGCUUUGUACUAAAUAAAUGAAACAAUGAAGAUGAGGAAGGAAGGGAGGUUAGAUGCCCUCAGUCCACGUGCGGACUGUGAUGGAGCAGACCCUUUUUCUUCACUGCUUAAAAACCACUGUGGCUGCUGUAGCUUUGGGAGCUGUCUUGGCCUGGGUGGCUGCUGUCUGUGUGGUUUCGGGGCAGCUGUGCCCAUCCCCAACCUUCCCACCUCCUGUGUGCUCUGGAGUACAGCCAGGUGCGUGCCAGUGGGGGACAAUCUAUGAGGGCCAGCUAAGAGCAUUACACAUCCCAUUAGGGCAGCUGUGAAAUCACGAGCCAAGUGCCCAUUCAGGGUAUAUACAGCCUCAGAUCAGUAUCGAUCUUGAGAUUUCUGCUGGCUUCUUAGUGACAGCAGCACUGUGGCCAGAUCCUUCUGGCUGGUGUAGACCUGCAGAAGCCCUCCUGCUGCCAGCGCAGCCAUCUGGAGUAAAUGAAGCAGGAUCUGUCCUGCUCCUUCCAAGUGCCACAUGUGGGUUAAGCAGGAAGCAUGGGAAGGAGGGAGUGUUUUUGCCAACAAAAUGUUGUCUCUCCUCAGCAAUGACCACCAUUGGAGUUAAUUCAUCUUUCGGAGGAUGAGCCAAAAUCCCCACUGAGGAUUGGUUUGGGCCUAUUUUUUGCCAAGCUUCAUCAAAAUCCUGUGUUUCUGCAAUAAAAGUCCCUCUCAGCUGCCACUGUUGUAUGGAGUUUACUAAUAAGGCUCUUGGCUUUAAAUACUUCCAAUCGGGCAACAGGUUAAGAUCUUGAAAAUGCCAUACUCUGUGUAUGAUGCCUGUCCAUGGGAAGGCUGUCUGCAGCCCCAGCUCAGCCAAGGACAGCUGCAAGGAACUGCUUUGAGGGUGGAUCUGCUGGCCAGGGGAGCAGCAUCCUGCUCUCUGACAUGGGGCUGGAGAGGAGGCAGUGCAUGGUUUAUGGCCUGGGCAGCUUUUGCUAUCGCUCUCCAGGCUUGGCCUCUUCCCACUAUAGUAGAACUCCUUUUGUUCCUUCAAAGGUCAUUUUCCUAAGCAAGAUAAUUUACGAGUGGAAGCCGAGUUGCUCAAGGAGAGCCACACCAACUCACAGACAAAUCUCCCCUUCCUACGGUAAUUUAUGAUUUGCCCUAAUUAUCCAGUAUAAACGCAUGGAAACUCCGAGUGCAAUCUCUCCUUCGCACCAUUCGCCAUCGCUUUGCAGGCCGUGUCCUGCUUGUCAGAAGCAUUGUUUGUUCAAUAAUAAAAUUGCCACAUACUGUUAAUCACAACCUGCAAACAUCUAAUAAAACAACCACCGAACGCGCGUGUGUAAAACCAUCUCCUCGCUGGCCCCAUUAGGCUCAGUGCUUUCUGCUUGGAGAGCGGCAUGACCUCCCUUUUCAAUCAAUUCCCAGUUAUUAACCAUGAAGAAUAGCGUUGGGAACUGCAUUUGCAAAUUGAAUGUGGUGGUACAGAAUGAGCUCAUUCUUUAAAA